UUCAUUGGGGUGCUAUUAUUUAACCAGGUAAUAAUGGCUGAGAUCAAACCCUUAUACCUGAUCUGGAUAAUUCCAGCGUAGGAAAAUCA
rnacentral:ncRNA from 1 species